rnacentral:rRNA from 1 species
AGCGAACGCUGGCGGCAGGCUUAACACAUGCAAGUCGAGCGGGCAUCCUUGUGGUGUCAGCGGCAGACGGGUGAGUAACGCGUGGGAACGUGCCCUUCGGUUCGGAAUAACUCAGGGAAACUUGAGCUAAUACCGGAUACGUGCGAGAGCAGAAAGGUUCAUCUGCCGAAGGAUCGGCCCGCGUCUGAUUAGCUAGUUGGUGAGGUUAUGGCUCACCAAGGCGACGAUCAGUAGCUGGUCUGAGAGGAUGAUCAGCCACACUGGGACUGAGACACGGCCCAGACUCCUACGGGAGGCAGCAGUGGGGAAUAUUGGACAAUGGGGGCAACCCUGAUCCAGCCAUGCCGCGUGAGUGAUGACGGCCUUAGGGUUGUAAAGCUCUUUUCUCCGGGACGAUAAUGACGGUACCGGAGGAAUAAGCCCCGGCUAACUUCGUG